UUGAAAUCGUAGUCGUAAGACUCACAACCUUGCAAACCUGUGAACUGUAAGGCUGUCUUGAAAACGAAAGUGAUUAGAGCGCCUGCCCAUUUUAUACAAACAUUAAAGUAACAAACGUAGUCUUAUUAUAAUCUAAUA
rnacentral:misc_RNA from 1 species